AGUUUAGCUAAUGUUGCCCGUACCGUAAACCGACACAGGUGGGUGGGAUGAGUAUUCUAAGGCGCGUGGAAGAACUCUCUUUAAGGAACUCUGCAAAAUAGCACCGUAUCUUCGGUAUAAGGUGUGGUUCGCUUCGUAUUAGGAUUUACUCCGAAAGCGAAGAAACUUACAACAAAGAGUCCCUCCCGACUGUUUACCAAAAACACAGCACUCUGCUAACUCGUAAGAGGAUGUAUAGGGUGUGACGCCUGCCCGGUGCUCGAAGGUUAAUUGAUGGGGUUAGCAUUAGCGAAGCUCUUGAUCGAAGCCCGAGUAAACGGCGGCCGUAACUAUAACGGUCCUAAGGUAGCGAAAUUCCUUGUCGGUUAAAUACCGACCUGCAUGAAUGGCGUAACGAGAUGGGAGCUGUCUCAAAGAGGGAUCCAGUGAAAUUGUAGUGGAGGUGAAAAUUCCUCCUACCCGCGGCAAGACGGAAAGACCCCGUGGACCUUUACUACAGCUUGACACUGCUAUUUGGAUAAGAAUGUGCAGGAUAGGUGGGAGGCUUUGAGUAUAUGACGCCAGUUGUAUAUGAGCCAUUGUUGAGAUACCACUCUUUCUUAUUUGGGUAGCUAACCAGCUUGAGUUAUCCUCAAGUGGGACAAUGUCUGGUGGGUAGUUUGACUGGGGCGGUCGCCUCCCAAAUAAUAACGGAGGCUUACAAAGGUUGGCUCAGAACGGUUGGAAAUCGUUCGUAGAGUAUAAAGGUAUAAGCCAGCUUAACUGCAAGACAUACAAGUCAAGCAGAGACGAAAGUCGGUCUUAGUGAUCCGGUGGUUCUGUGUGGAAGGGCCAUCGCUCAAAGGAUAAAAGGUACCCCGGGGAUAACAGGCUGAUCUCCCCCAAGAGCUCACAUCGACGGGGAGGUUUGGCACCUCGAUGUCGGCUCAUCGCAUCCUGGGGCUGGAGCAGGUCCCAAGGGUAUGGCUGUUCGCCAUUUAAAGCGGUACGCGAGCUGGGUUCAGAACGUCGUGAGACAGUUCGGUCCCUAUCUGCCGUGGGCGUAAGAAGAUUGAAGAGA
rnacentral:rRNA from 1 species